rnacentral:rRNA from 1 species
UUUCCUACGGGACGCAGCAGUGAGGAAUAUUGGUCAAUGGGCGCGAGCCUGAACCAGCCAAGUCGCGUGAGGGAUGACGGUCCUACGGAUUGUAAACCUCUUUUGCCGGGGAGCAAGCGUGCGUUCGUGAACGCGCGUCGAGAGUACCCGGAGAAAAAGCAUCGGCUAACUCCGUGCCAGCAGCCGCGGUAAUACGGAGGAUGCGAGCGUUAUCCGGAUUUAUUGGGUUUAAAGGGUGCGUAGGCGGGCUUUUAAGUCAGCGGUAAAAAUUCGGGGCUCAACCCCGUCCGGCCGUUGAAACUGGG